rnacentral:rRNA from 1 species
AAUUAAAAUUUUAUUUAUUUUUUAUGUUUUGAUAUUUAUAAAAUAAGUAAAUUUAAUUUUUAUUAUUAUAUAAGAAAAAAUUUUUUUAAUUAUAGUUUAUUAGUAUUGUGAAAGAAUAUUUUUAAUUUUUAAAAAGAAUAAUUAAUUUUUUGUACCUUGUGUAUCAGGGUUUAUUAAAUAAUAUAAUUUAUUUUAUUAUCUCGAAUUUAAAAGAGUUAAAAAUUUAUUUUUUUUAUUGUUGAAUAAAUAUUAAAAAUAAAUUUUUUGUAAUGAAAUGUUAUUCGUUUUUAAAUAUAUCUAGUUUUUUAAGAAAAAAAUUAAAUUUUAAAUAUUAUAUUAAUAAAAUAUUAAAUAUGUAAUAUUUUAUUGAAAAUAUUAAAUAUUUUUAGGGAUAAGCUUAAAAAUAAAGAUUUAUUAAAUAAUUAAUAUAAAAUUAAUUUGUAGGAUUAGAAGUUUCUAUCAUUAAAAAAAUGUUAUAGUUUAUUUAUUAAUAGAUAUUAUUUAUUAAUUAAUUUAUAAAUUUUUUAUUAAAAUAUUAAUUUUAAUUAAAAAAAUUAAGGAAUAAUGAUAAAAUUAGUAUAGAAUUUAUUGUACGAAUAUUAUUAUAUUUAAGGUUUAAUAAAGGAAUUCGGCAAAUAUAUUUUUCACCUGUUUAAUAAAAACAUGGCCUAUUGAAAAUAGUUUUAGGUUUAGUCUGCCCUAUGAAAUUUUAAAUGGCCGCGGUAUUUUGACCGUGCUAAGGUAGCAUAAUCAUUAGUUUCUUAAUUAGAAGCUGGCAUGAAGGGCUGGAUGAAAAAAUUACUGUCUUUAUUAAAUUUUAAUAAAAAUUUAUUUUUUAGUAAAAAAGCUAAAAUAUUGAUAAAAGACGAGAAGACCCUAUAGAGUUUAAUAUGUAAUUAUUUUAAUAUUUAUUAGAAUAAAAAUUUUUAAUUUAUUAAUAUAUUUAAUUGGGGUGAUUAAAAAAUUAGAUAAACUUUUUUUAUAAAUAAAACAUUAAUUUAUGAAUUAUUGAUCCAUUAUUUAUGAUUAUAAGAUAAAAUUACCUUAGGGAUAACAGCGUAAUAUUUUCAGAGAGUUCUUAUCGAAGAAAAAGAUUGCGACCUCGAUGUUGGAUUAAAAUUAAUUCUUGGUGUAGAAGUUAAGAAUAUUAGGUCUGUUCGACCUUUAAAAUUUUACAUGAUCUGAGUUUAAACCGGCGUGAGCCAGGUUGGUUUCUAUCUUUAAUUAUUAUAAAUAUUUUAGUACGAAAGGAUUAAAUAUUUGAAAAAUUUUUUUAAUUUUGAAUAAUAUUA